AUUGAACGCUGGCGGCGGCUUAACACAUGCAAGUCGAACGGUAACAUAAAGAAGCUUGCUUCUUUGAUGACGAGUGGCGGACGGGUGAGUAAUGCUUGGGAAUCUAGCUUAUGGAGGGGGAUAACUACGGGAAACUGUAGCUAAUACCGCGUAAUAUCGAAAGAUUAAAGUGUGGGACCUUCGGGCCGCAUGCCAUAAGAUGAGCCCAAGUGGGAUUAGGUAGUUGGUGAGGUAAAGGCUCACCAAGCCGACGAUCUCUAGCUGGUCUGAGAGGAUGACCAGCCACACUGGGACUGAGACACGGCCCAGACUCCUACGGGAGGCAGCAGUGGGGAAUAUUGCGCAAUGGGGGCAACCCUGACGCAGCCAUGCCGCGUGAAUGAAGAAGGCCUUCGGGUUGUAAAGUUCUUUCGGUAGCGAGGAAGGCAUUUAGUUUAAUAGACUAGGUGAUUGACGUUAACUACAGAAGAAGCACCGGCUAACUCCGUGCCAGCAGCCGCGGUAAUACGGAGGGUGCGAGCGUUAAUCGGAAUAACUGGGCGUAAAGGGCACGCAGGCGGUGACUUAAGUGAGGUGUGAAAGCCCCGGGCUUAACCUGGGAAUUGCAUUUCAUACUGGGUCGCUAGAGUACUUUAGGGAGGGGUAGAAUUCCACGUGUAGCGGUGAAAUGCGUAGAGAUGUGGAGGAAUACCGAAGGCGAAGGCAGCCCCUUGGGAAUGUACUGACGCUCAUGUGCGAAAGCGUGGGGAGCAAACAGG
rnacentral:rRNA from 1 species